rnacentral:lncRNA from 1 species
CCAAAUAUCUUCGAUGAAGCUGCUUCUAAGCUUUUUGAUAACAACACAAUUCUGAUUAUAGAUCCAAAAUUAAUAACCUGAUCCAGCAAUCCAAAAAAGCCCUACAGGUUGCUGCUAUAGCUAGAGUGGGAGUUACUUCAUUAAAUCUAGCUCCAUAUUUCCAUGCAAAAAAACUAGGAAUCUUGGAUUAGGAUAUGCUAUUACAAAGACAAUAUUUUGGUUGAAUGAAGCAUCAAUUUCAAAGUAAUAGUUCCAUACGUGCAAGCAUGAACCAUAGGCAGCCUUAGCUUUCAAUACUCAACAAGCAAGCUAGCUCUUACGUCACAAUAACCAUUUUUAUAUAUAUACACAUAUAUAUACAAUCUCUCGCUCUCUCUCUCCCAUAAACAAAUUUCAAGAGGGUAAGACAAAAUAUAAUACAAAAAUCUGCCAGUUUUAGCCAAAUAUAUCUGAGGUUGAGCAGUAUUUUAUUAAGAUGAAUAUGUUUAGAAAUGAAGAGUCAAAGGAAUCUGGGCUUAAUGACUAUUCCAAGGACAGAGAUAGUCGUUUCUGAAAUUGUGCAAAUCACUUAGCACCUCAGUUCCACAAACAUUGUAAAUAAUAAAAAAACACAAAUACACAUAUAAAUAUAUGCAUAUAGAUAAAGAGAUAGCAGAUGAGAAAUGAAGAAUGAACCUUUCAACUGGAACUUGAAUUUCAAGUUGCUCACCACCACUAGCAGCCUGAACAGUGCUGAAUCCUCGAGCAACAAGUGAGGGUGAACCUCCAGCAUCAGCCUAACAAUACACGAUCAGUUCAAUUAGGUCUUAGAGCACAGGAAUACAAGACAUGAUUCUAUUGUGAGCAUCCACCAUGCCUAAUAUUCAAUUAAGCAAAGCUUACCACCUAAGAAAACUGUCAUAACAAUUCGGACCCGGAGCAAUCAAGAAUUCAGAAUCCCCCGCGAAUUCAAUAACUACAGUGCAAGAAGCAAUUGAAUUAAGUCGGACUACAAGAAUCAAUCAACUGCAACACCCCGUUCUCCGAAGAAGAGAACUAGAACUUACUAAGUAUGCAUAACUUACAAAAUUGCUCGAGAAUUUAAAAAUUCGAACCCAGAGUAGAGAAGUGCAGAGUUCAGGACUUACUGGAGUUGGAGAGAACUGUCGUUACCGGAGCAAUUUAGAACCCUAGAAAGAUAAAGUUGUGCCCAAUUUGUGCAUAUUAUCUGAGAGAGAGAGGGUCGCUGCCAUUAAAAUCGGAGUAUUUCAGUGCGAGGGAGGUGACUACCGGUGGAAGCGGUGGAGGUGGCGACAAACGACCUAGGGUUCUGAAUUUGGGGAAAAAAGAGAGGAGCUCGAGAUAGGUCGUGAGGGGAAAGUUGGCUUUCCUGAGAGGCUUCGAUGACAGGCCACCUGCGACAACCUAGGGUUCGAUCCGGGUCGCCGAAGCGUGCGCCGCGCUGGAGUUGGUGAAGGAGGCGUCGAUCCGGGUCGCCGAAGUGUGCGCCGCGCUGGAGCAUCGGCAUGGUUCGAAGUCGGGACUUGGUGGAGAAUCGGGGCGAACAGAGUUGGUAUAUGGCAGAGGGGUCGAUUUGGGGAAGAAGAAGGCGGAUGGGGGGAGGAGAGGCGAAGAAGAAGGCGGAUGGAGAAGAAGGCGGAUGGAGAAGAAGAAUUGCAGAAGCCCU